ACGAACGCUGGCGGCGUGCUUAACACCUGCAAGUCGAACGGAAAGGCCCUGCUUUUGUGGGGUGCUCGAGUGGCGAACGGGUGAGUAACACGUGAGUAACCUGCCCUUGACUUUGGGAUAACUUCAGGAAACUGGGGCUAAUACCGGAUAGGAGCUCCUGCUGCAUGGUGGGGGUUGGAAAGUUUCGGCGGUUGGGGAUGGACUCGCGGCUUAUCAGCUUGUUGGUGGGGUUGUGGCUUACCAAGGCUUUGACGGGUAGCCGGCCUGAGAGGGUGACCGGCCACAUUGGGACUGAGAUACGGCCCAGACUCCUACGGGAGGCAGCAGUGGGGAAUAUUGCACAAUGGGCGGAAGCCUGAUGCAGCAACGCCGCGUGCGGGAUGACGGCCUUCGGGUUGUAAACCGCUUUCGCCUGUGACGAAGCGUGAGUGACGGUAAUGGGUAAAGAAGCACCGGCUAACUACGUG
rnacentral:rRNA from 1 species